UACGAAGGGGGCUAGCGUUGCUCGGAAUCACUGGGCGUAAAGCGCACGUAGGCGGCUUACUAAGUCAGGGUGAAAUCCUGGAGCUCAACUCCAGAACUGCCUUUGAUACUGGUGAGCUUGAGUCCGGAAGAGGUGAGUGGAACUGCGAAGUGUAGAGGUGAAUUCGUAGAUAUUCGCAAGAACACCAGUGGCGAAGGCGGCUCACUGGCCCGGUACUGACGCUGAGGUGCGAAAGCGUGGGAGCAAACAGGG
rnacentral:rRNA from 1 species